rnacentral:rRNA from 1 species
ACUCCUACGGGAGGCAGCAGUGGGAAUAUUGCACAAUGGGCGCAAGCCUGAUGCAGCCAUGCCGCGUGUAUGAAGAAGGCCUUCGGGUUGUAAAGUACUUUCAGCAGUGAGGAAGGCGGGUACGUUAAUAGCGUGCUCGUUUUGACGUUAGCUGCAGAAGAAGCACCGGCUAACUCCGUGCCAGCAGCCGCGGUAAUACGGAGGGUGCGAGCGUUAAUCGGAAUUACUGGGCGUAAAGCGCAUGCAGGUGGUUUGUUAAGUCAGAUGUGAAAGCCCGGGGCUCAACCUCGGAAUAGCAUUUUGAAACUGGCAGACUAGAGUACU